rnacentral:rRNA from 1 species
CGCACGGGUGAGUAACGCGUAUGCAACUUGCCUAUCAGAGGGGGAUAACCCGGCGAAAGUCGGACUAAUACCGCAUGAAGCAGGGAUCCCGCAUGGGGAUAUUUGCUAAAGAUUCAUCGCUGAUAGAUAGGCAUGCGUUCCAUUAGGCAGUUGGCGGGGUAACGGCCCACCAAACCGACGAUGGAUAGGGGUUCUGAGAGGAAGGUCCCCCACAUUGGUACUGAGACACGGACCAAACUCCUACGGGAGGCAGCAUG